CCAAGGCUGGGAGGAGUUGCAAGUGCCUUAGAGGAUAGGAUGAAAAUUCAGAAUUGUCUGGACAAACUAGAGAAAUGAUCUGAGGUAAAUAGGAUGAAAUUCAAUAAGGACAAAUGCAAAGUACUCU